rnacentral:rRNA from 1 species
AUACGGAGGGUCCGAGCGUUAUCCGGAAUCAUUGGGUUUAAAGGGUCCGUAGGCGGGAAUCUAAGUCAGUGGUGAAAUCUUGCAGCUCAACUGUAAAAUUGCCAUUGAUACUGGAUUUCUUGAAUUAGUGUGAAGUGGUUAGAAUGUGUAGUGUAGCGGUGAAAUGCAUAGAUAUUACACAGAAUACCAAUUGCGAAGGCAGAUCACUAACACUAUAUUGACGCUGAGGGACGAAAGCGUGGUGAGCGAACAGGAUUAGAAACCCCAGUAGUCC